rnacentral:lncRNA from 1 species
AAACACUGUUAGUGCAUCUGUGAGGUUCUGUUUCUUUUAAUUCACCUCUUGAGCUGUUUGAUCAUUUUGCCAUGUUUUGAAUUGCUUGGAUGAUUUCAUGAGUAUCUGCUUUCCUUGAUUCUGUGUUGGAUACUGUCCAAUUCUUUUCAUUGUCCAGAUUUCUUGAGGACUGCAUAAUUCUGUUUCUGCCAUAGUUAGUCUUUGUGUCAAUUCCUU